GGAGAGCGUACGACAGGUGCUGCAUGGCUGUCGUCAGCUCGUGUCGUGAGAUGUUGGGUUAAGUCCCGCAACGAGCGCAACCCUAUUGCUAGUUACCAUCAUUAAGCUGGGGACGUCUAGCGAGACUGCCAGUGAUAAACUGGAGGAAGGUGGGGAUGACGUCAAAUCAUCAUGCCCCUUAUGACCUGGGCUACAAACGUGAUACAAUGGCUGGAACAAAGGGAUGCGAAGCAGUGAUGUGGAGCGAAACCCAUAAAAACAGUCUCAGUUCGGAUUGAAGUCUGCAACUCGACUUCAUGAAGUCGGAAUCGCUAGUAAUCGCGGAUCAGAACGCCGCGGUGAAUACGUUCUCGGGGUUU
rnacentral:rRNA from 1 species